AGGACUUAAAAGAUCGAUAUAUUGGAGGAAUUAAAGAAAAAAGAUAUUUAACGAGCUUAGUUGAUGCGAGAUAUUGCGCGACGAGUCGAUAUCUUUCAUUUUUGCCAGAAUUUUUGUGAAAAUUUUUCUUUUAUCGAUGAAUGUUAUCUGUUUGAAUACAACGAAUCUUUGGAAAAACAUCGAUCUUUCGUAUAUCGACAAUUGUCAAGCGAUAUGUGUUUUUCGUUUUCGUUUGUGGAUAAAUUAUGAUAUAUAUGAAGGUAUAAUCGAGCACUUAAUUCGAUUUUACGGAUAAGUUUGACAAGUUUUAAGUAUUGAUUAUGAAGAGUGUAAUGGAACAAAUGGAAUUAAAGGAAAAGAUCAUUUUUCAAUAAAUUGUUAGUUAAAGAAAAAUGCCUUAGGCUUCUUCAAUUGUCAUAUUUAUAUGAUACCAAUCAUCUGAAAGAUCCUGAAAGAAAUAUUAAAUUUAUAUUAUGAUAUUAUUAUUAUGAUUAUGUAAAAGAGGUUUUACAACUAUAGUAUAAUGAAUAUUUAACAAUAUUAAUAUAAAUCAUAAUAAUUGGAUAAGUUAAAUUUCAAAAAAGAAUUUAAUUUAAAAAUUUAAUUUCAAAUAAAAAUCCAAUAAAUUGCAUAGAAAGUUUUACGAUAAAUAAACGUUAUUAAUUAUUCAGAAGAGUAUAUUCAUUGUCUUGUGAAAGGAAACUAAUAUGGAAUACAAUCUUCCCUUACUUGAGGUUUGAGUCCAGUCACGUUCAUGCACGGGG